rnacentral:rRNA from 1 species
AUGCUGAGCGAUCCAGGUGUCGUCACCAACACCGUGCACCGGCGUCGGCUUGACUUCAUGCUCACCGAAGACAGAGGCAGCGACCAUUGGCUUCACUUCGCGCUCACCAAAGACAGAGGCAGCAACCAUUGGCUUUACUUCACGCUCACCGGAGACAGAGGCAGCGACCAUUGGCCUCACUUCACGCUCACCGAAGACAGAGGCAGGGACCAUUGGCUUUACUUCACGCUCAUGGAAGACAGAGGCAGCGACCAUUGGCUUCACUUCGCGUUCACCGAAGACAGAAGCAGCGACCAUUGGCUUUACUUCACGCUCAUCGGAGACAGAGGCGGUGAUCACCGGCUUUAUUUCAUGCUCAUCAAGGAUAGAGGCAGCAGCCAUCAUCGGCUUCACUCCAUGCUCAGUAAGGACAGAGGCAGCAGUGGCAGGAGAAGAAGACGGGGAAUGGCAUUGCACUGGCUGGGCGGUGGAGAUGAAGAAGGCAGAUGGGAAGUUGACGAUUGCGCGGGAGCCAUAGAUGGCCACGGCGGCCCUGUCGUAUGCGAGGGCGGCGUCAACGGCGGUGUCGAAGGUGCCCAGCCAGUGUCGCUUGCCGCGGUUGGGCUCACGGACUUCAGAGACCCACCUGCCCCACCUGCGCUGCCGAACACCCCGGUACAUGUGGUCCCUAUCCUCCGGACCACCCUCCCCUCCAGGAGGAGACGCCACUGGAGUCUUGAUUCUCAGCGUGGCACUGCUCUUGGGACGAGCUCGCUUUGUCCUGAUCGUACUGCACGCAAAGAGCGAAAUGCACAUCUCAGAUGUCUUGCAAACUGCGAUAAACAAGGCCAUGCCGGUGUUCUAGGAAUGGUUAAUCAACAAAUGUCAGCAUGGAUAUGA